GCUUUGAGAGGGACUCAGCUUCAUCUGGCACUAGAAGCUCUCCAAUAAAUAAAACACACAGAGGGCUGGGCCAGGCCCACGGCCACCAAAACCAUCAGUUUAUAUAUUGAGCCAUCAUAAAAUGCAGAAGGGGAAGUGAUUGUUAUCCAGAGAGACCAGCCAGCUGACACACCUACAGGGCACCCAUCUGAGAGCAUUUCCUGCAGAUGAGUCGCCCAGGAAGAUAACCCAGGCAGCCAAAAUGACAGUGUGGGCUCUUACUGAUGCCUUUAACAAACACAGCAUUAAUUUCAGCCAGUCCUGGGAUUAUUUGAAAAAGGGCCUUGGGGGACUUGUUCAAAGGCACUGCCACCACGGACGACGUUGCUUUCUGAACUGAAGCAUUUCACUCCUAUCUGUCUGGACAUAUGAGCUGCUCAGCACUGCUUCAUUAGGCAAGUUAUUUUUAAAUUCCCAGAAAGAGCAAAACAUUGAGAGAGGAAUUAGCAUUUGCUGUUGAAACAGCUGCCAAAGAGAAGAGGCAGAAGGCACUCCGGGUCCCCCUGCUAUCCCUGGGAUUAACCAGGCACCAGUACCCAGUCACUGACACACUCUCAGACUGCACAUGAGACAUCAGAAAUCAUGCCCCAAGAUCAGGAUGGGCAAGUGACCAUCAGAACUCUGUUCUGGAUGUAAGUAAGAAAGUGACCAUCAACACUGAAUAAGAAAAAAUCUUGGAAAUGUCUCUCUUCCUCCAGCCCCAUUCUG